CAACGAACCGCAGCGGCACAGCCUGCCUUUGGGGCUCUGCCGUCAUGGCCAGGGGUGCAGAUCAGGGGCUUGUUUGAGCACGUGACGUACACUGCAGAACUUGGGUCCUCAUGGAGACCUCAUAACCUGCUACACAAUGCUUAUCUAAAGAAGACUGCAAAGCCCUUGAAUUGACGCGGCUACACAGUGGAGAACAGACCAGCAGGGCAGCGGAUCAGCGGAUAGAUAGACUGCCGUGUAG